rnacentral:rRNA from 1 species
GACGUAGGGUGCAAGCGUUGUCCGGAUUUACUGGGCGUAAAGAGCGCGUAGGCGGUCUUGUAAGUGUGAAGUGAAAUCUCCAGGGCUCAACCCGGAAACUGCUUUGCAUACUGCGAGACUUGAGGGAUGCAGAGGUUUGUGGAAUUCCUGGUGUAGCGGUGAAAUGCGUUGAUAUCGAGGAGGAACACCCAUGGCGAAGGCAGCAAACUGGGCCAUCGAUCUGAC